AUGAAAAUAAUGUUGAAGAUACGACAGAUGUUACCGUGUCAGGUGAUGGCACGUGGAAAAAACGUGGGUUUGCAUCAUUAUACGGUAUGAAUCUGUCAUGAGUUAUCCUGACUACGCCGAGAGAACUUUUUUUGAGGGGUCAUAGCAGACGACGUGUCCACGCCUUAAUCUUCAAUAUUUUCCAAUGAAAAUUUCACAAACUACUUAUAAAAUAUGUAUCUCUUAUGUGUUAAAUUGAUGGAAUGAAAUAUUCUGUUGAUUAAAUAAAGAAAAAUUCAUAAAAAUGUAA